rnacentral:rRNA from 1 species
CCUACGGGUGGCAGCAGUGGGGAAUAUUGCACAAUGGGGGGAACCCUGAUGCAGCGACGCCGCGUGAGUGAAGAAGGAUUUCGGUAUGUAAAGCUCUAUCAGCAGGGAAGAAAAUGACGGUACCUGACUAAGAAGACCCGGCUAACGACGUGCCAGCAGCCGCGGUAAUACGUAGGGGGCAAGCGUUAUCCGGAUUUACUGGGUGUAAAGGGAGCGCAGACGGCUGUGCAAGUCUGGAGUGAAAGGCGGGGGCCCAACCCCCGGACUGCUCUGGAAACUGUAAAGCUGUCGUGCAGGAGAAGUAUGCGGAAUGCGUGGUGUAGCGGUGAAAUGCAUAGAUAUCACGCAGAACUCCGAUUGCGAAGGCAGCAUACCGGCGCCCACCUGACGCUGACGCACGAAAGCGUGGGUAUCGAACAGGAUUAGAUACCCCAGUAGUC